CGACGUGGAAACCAACAUAUCAGCAAUGAUGAUAUGAGAUUUUUUCGUCGCAAGUUAGAUAUUAUGAAACGUGAUGAGCUUGUGUGGGAGCCUUACACAACAAUCGUUAUAUCAUUGUUGCCUCCCAUUUGUGUACUCGGAAGUGUCGCGUGGUGCGCGGUGGUGCUCGGAAUCAGAAUGUGGAAUUUGAAGUUAUACCAUCCUCCUAUUUAAACAAAAACUACACAAGCCAUUAUUAAAGCAUGCCCGUGAAGCCAAUUUUCUCCAAAGUCUUCUGGCCACUGUAUCCAUGUGAACCUUGCACAGCUGCAAUGCAUGUGACCCUUACACAACUGCACAACUAGCCUGCAAAUGGUUCAACUCUAUUCUGCAUGAUUCAGCCCUAGCUGCAUGCAUGAUUCAGCCCUAGCUACAUGCAAAUGGCUUACGAACAAUGCCCUAAGCUGUCUCGCAGGAAGCAAUGGCGGCACUGCUUGUCAAUGGUUCUCGCAAGAUGCACUGGCGAGUUUCAUGCAUACGUGGGAGGCUUCUCGCCAGUGGUGCUGGCGACACACCCACGUCACCAUGCAUCUCGCCAGUUGUGCUGGCGGCACACGUACCAUGCAGCCACAUCACGAAGCUUCUCGCCAUUGAUAAUGGCGGCACACCUAUCUCGCCAACCCUGCUGGCGGCAUCAACGUAAGAAGAGACCCCCUUCGUAAAUACUUAGAAAAGGGAUCCCUUUACGUAAAUAGUUUGUAAAGGGGACCCUCUAUAGUAAAUUUCCCGCUCUUAGUCUUAGAUUCUCCGUGUCAACAUAAUAUGAAAC